rnacentral:ribozyme from 13 species
GUAGGUGAGAGAGAAGAAAGAGGAAGCGGAGAGAGAAUAGGUCCUUUCUUUACUUUCUCUUCUCCAUUUUUUGAUGGUUUUCUUUUUCUUUUUGGAGAAGAAGAAGAAGUGUGAAGAGAAGGACUUGAAGGAUUUGAAGAAAGAUGAGGAAUAGAAGAGUGAGUUAUGAUCGAAGAAGGUGAACAACCAGAUUGAGCCCGUUGUUUUUUAAGUUUUGAAGAAUGAGAAGAAGAGGAA